GUCCGGACAGAGCAAAAAAAACAAGGCAUCAGUAUUGUUGAGUAUUAGCUUGUACCUGGUUCGGAGGCUAAGUUUGGUGGAGAAGGCAGCAGGUGCACCAGCGGUCGCUACCUCGCUAAGCGCGGGCCCGGAGUUUGGACCAAGACAAAGACGGGAGCUGUCCGCGGUGCUGAACCUGCCGCGCCGCCAAGGGGGCAAACGGGCUCCUGUAACCUGCCCUCUCCUCCUUCACUCCCUCCUUCCACCUUCCCUUUACCCUGUGAUUUUCGCCCUCUCCUGCGUUUGUUUCCCCCGCUUUGUCUUUCCUUAGCACCCGCGUCCUGUACACAGGUAUAUCUAUCAAAGAACAAAACAACUGACUAAAUAUGGUGUCCUCUCCUUUCUUCCCAAAUAAACGAUGUAAGAAAGGUGUA